rnacentral:rRNA from 1 species
AAUCUGCCCUCAGGAGGGGGACAACAGCUGGAAACGGCUGCUAAUACCCCAUAUGCCGCGAGGUGAAAUGAAUUUCGCCUGAGGAUGAGCUCGCGUCUGAUUAGCUAGUUGGUGUAGGUAAUGGCUCACCAAGGCAUCGAUCAGUAGCUGGUCUGAGAGGAUGAUCAGCCACACUGGGACUGAGACACGGCCCAGACUCCUACGGGAGGCAGCAGUGGGGAAUUUUCCGCAAUGGGCGAGAGCCUGACGGAGCAACGCCGCGUGAGGGAUGAAGGCCUCUGGGCUGUAAACCUCUUUUAUCAAGGAAGAAGAUCUGACGGUACUUGAUGAAUAAGCCACGGCUAAUUCCGUGCCAGCAGCCGCGGUAAUACGGGAGUGGCAAGCGU